rnacentral:rRNA from 1 species
CCCUUAGAUGUUCUGGGCCGCACGCGCGCUACACUGAUGCAUUCAACGAGCCUAUCCUUGACCGACAGGUCCGGGUAAUCUUUGAAUCUGCAUCGUGACGGGGAUAGAUUAUUGCAAUUAUUAAUCUUCAACGAGGAAUGCCUAGUAGGCGCAAGUCAUCAGCUUGCGUCGAUUACGUCCCUGCCCUUUGUACACACCGCCCGUCGCUCCUACCGAUUGAAUGGUUUAGUGAGAUCUCUGGAUUGACGCUGGCUAGGGGGCGACCCUUGGCCAGACUGCUCGAGAAACUGCUCAAACUUGAUCAUUUAGAGGAAGUAAAAGUCGUAACA